GAUAUGUAUGCUUGAUGGUUUCGCUCAUUGGGAAGUAGUUUCAACCGAUUUCCUUUGUAUAGUCCGAUAUGUGGGUGGUGGAAAUUGGAGCUUUGUUUGUUUUCAGCCACUCGAUGAAGUAUCAUUUUUUUCCAAUUAUUUCAUCUGUUUUGUCCCUCGAUUUUGUCCAUUUGGGUGAGAUUAUUUUUGGCUUUUUCAAA
rnacentral:lncRNA from 1 species